GAUGAACGCUAGCGGCAGGCUUAACACAUGCAAGUCGAGGGGUAUAGUUCUUCGGAGCUAGAGACCGGCGCACGGGUGCGUAACGCGUAUGCAAUCUGCCUUUUGCAGAGGGAUAGCCCAGAGAAAUUUGGAUUAAUACCUCAUGGUAUGUGAGAAUGGCAUCAUUUUCACAUUAAAGUCACAACGGCAAAAGAUGAGCAUGCGUCCCAUUAGCUAGUUGGUAAGGUAACGGCUUACCAAGGCAACGAUGGGUAGGGGUCCUGAGAGGGAGAUCCCCCACACUGGUACUGAGACACGGACCAGACUCCUACGGGAGGCAGCAGUGAGGAAUAUUGGACAAUGGGCGCAAGCCUGAUCCAGCCAUGCCGCGUGCAGGAUGACGGUCCUAUGGAUUGUAAACUGCUUUUGUACAGGAGGAAACACUGGUUCGUGAGCCAGCUUGACGGUACUGUAAGAAUAAGGAUCGGCUAACUCCGUGCCAGCAGCCGCAGUAACAC
rnacentral:rRNA from 1 species